rnacentral:misc_RNA from 1 species
AACCUAGCACACCUGCGGUGUGUACCUGCGGAAGGAUCAUUACCUAGAGUUGUAGGCUUUGCCUGCUAUCUCUUACCCAUGUCUUUUGAGUACCUUACGUUUCCUCGGUGGGUUCGCCCGCCGGUUGGACAAAACUUAAACUCUUUGUAGUUGCAAUCAGCGUCUGAAAAAACUUAAUAGUUACAACUUUCAACAACGGAUCU